UACUUUUUUGGUAUGUGUUCCAAAUAUUGCAUGGGCAAUUUAACUGGGUGUCCUGUAUUUUAUCUGGCUCAACUUUGUUUAGACAGCAGGGUGCACAGCUGAAAAGAUAACUUUUAUAACAUCUUUGCAGCUAGGGGUGGUCACAACAGAGUGCUUUCCUUUGGAAUGAAACUUUUCUAGGAGCAAGUACUUUGCUUCCCUCCUUGGAUUCUGGCUGGAAUUCAAAUGCAAUGCCUGGUGACACAGCAGCCAUGUUGUAACCAUGAAGUGGCUAGCUGUGUAGUAAGGCUGACAGAGCAGGAAGCCAGAAAGGACCCAGAGUCCUGAGGCUUUGGUCCUUCUUUCUAUGUUCAUAUAUAACAUUUGCAUGAAGAAGACACCCACAUCUGUUUAUGCCACUGAUAUUCAGGGCUCUCAGCUGAAUACAGUUUUAACUGAUAUAUACAGGAAACACAUACUUCAAACAAAAUCUCAUGUGAAACUCCAUAUGGGUUGAAGUUCUGGUUAAAGCAGUCUGGUAGGGAGGAAAAAGGGGACAUAGCUUCAUUGCUUGAAUGUCUGUUCCACUCCUUCUCCCUUCUCCCGGAUUUUGGGGGAUGCCCUGUGGAGCCCCUCACUUUCCAUGGAACACAUCUUUAAGCCAGGAAACCACCAACUCUUCCCCACUCUUAGUUGCAUUUUUCUCAACUCUUUAGGACAGGGGUUGAGGAGGGUGUCCUGCGGAUUGCACAAAUGCCUGCUGGACUGAUCAGAGCCCUGGAUCCUAUACCUGGAGUUGGGAGCUUCCCCCAGGGCCCUGCAGCUCCCACCCUGGUUGCUGUGCACCGCGGAAUGGGCCCGUCAGGAAACAGGAAGGCAGCCUGCUCCACUCAGGUCAUUUGUCUGCCUCCUAAUCCAGCUAAGGCACAGGCUGGAGACCUCAGUUAGGGAAGUCCCUUCCCUGCCCCCUUGGGAACACUGGCCCCACCUGGGUGCUGGUUUCACCACUUUGUUACCAAAGUCUGUCACAGACAGGCAUUGGGUGAACUUACAGCUCAGCCUGCAGACGUAGCCCCAGGGCAGCAUGGCUGGACUGAGCUGUGCACAGACGCCUGCUGCGUGCUGUGCCUCCCCUGCGGGUGGAAGUCUUGGCCCCUGGACCCGGCAUUCGAGGCCUUCCGAGACAUUCUGCCCUUGGAAUGCUUGCCUCUCAAUUGAUCUGUCCUGAGUGGCUUGUUAUUAUUUUUUAAUAUUCAAUCGGUCAUGUAUCAGUAGUUAUGCAAAAUGUGGCAAAAAUGAAUGACUGAAGAAAAAUGAAAUGGAAAAAGAAAAAAUCUGAAAAUACACAAAAGCGCACACUGUUUUGCCAUUGGAUUCAACAGACCUGAAACUAUCCUUGCAGGAGCCCCUCGGUGCCCACCUGUAGGCCACGCUCACCAGCUGCACCAGAGCUGUGCUUCCAGCACCCAAAAGCUCCCUCCCUGAGCUGCACCCAGGCCUGCUCCCCACUCUCCUCACCAGCUGCACCCGUAUCUCCCACGGCCCACCCAGGGUACUAUCGAUCCUUUAGUCCUCUUCUGCCAGUGUACCCCAUGGCCCGGGACAACCCCUAGUAUGCAAUGGCUCUUUCUUGUGGGCAAUGCAUGGAGGCACACAUCAGGGCCCUGCUUUUAAGAAGGAAGUACUGAGACCUGGGUGCCGCCUCUUCUAGGAGCCAUGGAUGCCGGGGCUUACCCCCAGAGACUGUGAAUUGAAUGGUUAGGAGGGAGCCUGCACACACCGGAGAGCUCUGAGCACCAGGCGAGUCUCCCAUGUGGCCAGGUUGGGAGCCAUCGCUGUUCAUGUGGCCAGGGCUGCCUUGCCAGAGGAACUCAUCUUACUUUGCCACCAUGAAAAUGUAACUGUUUAUCAUGUCAUGACCUCCCUUGCUACAGUCGCUCUCGUCUUUUGUGUUCUAUUUAAUUUUUUAAAAUGCUGGUGGCCCAGUCACUAAAUUUUUUUUUUUUUUUUACCACCACUCAUGGGCAGGACCUGUUACGUGAGACAUGCACCAAAGCACGGAGAGGGACAGCCACGAUCCUGCCCGGAACGGGUCUUCAGAACUGGGCAGAGCAUGGCUCCUUUUGAUGGGGGCCCCAGAACUCCUUUUCAAAGGCAAUGGCAGGACGGGAUCCACAGUGGGUGGCCCUUUGAUAAGGAGGCAUCCUCCAGCCAGAGUUGACACCACGUGGACAAGGUCUCAAUGCUGCUUAACACUGUUUUGGGUGCAGAACAAAGAGCGGUUGGAACAUUUCUCGUCUAGUCUCCCCCUCUGUACGUGUCCUGUGUUUCUAGCUUGUUCAAAGUGGUCAAAGACCCAAGGCUGGUCUGGCACAGAAGGGGUCGUGCCUACAUGUAGGGAGGCGCUGACCCUUCUGUCUCCCCUUGUAUGUCCCCAGGGACAGGACAGCCCCCUGCCUGUUGUCCCCAGUGUCCUCUGUGAAUGGGGACCAGCUGUCUUUCAGCACUAUUGACAAGAGCCAAGAUGUGGAAUCAAUCUAAGUGCCCAUCAGUGGAUGAAUGGAUAAAGAAAAUGUGGUGUAAAUACACAGUGGAACACUCUUCAGCCAUUUGAAACACAGAUAGAACUGGAGGCCAUUAUGUUAAGUGAAACAAGCCAAACAGAAAGGUAAAUACUGCAUGUUCUCGGAUGUGGGAGCUGAAGUGGAUCUUCUGAAGAUAGAGAAUGGACUGGUGUUACCAGGGGCUGGGAAGGAUUGGGAGUAGGGGGAUGAAGAGAGGUUGAUUAAUGGGUACACAAUCUCACAUAAUGUAUUGUAUGCUUUACUGAAAUAAAAACAGAAUGGUUGUAUGGGUA
rnacentral:lncRNA from 1 species